rnacentral:rRNA from 1 species
GAGAGAAGUAAUUAAGGGCGUACGGCGGAUGCCUAGGCUCACAGAGGCGAAGAAGGACGUGAUAAGCUGCGAUAAGCUGCGGGGAGUUGCACAUAAGCAUUGAUCCGCGGAUUUCCGAAUGGGGCAACCCACUAUGUUGAAGACAUAGUACCAGAAAUGGGGCGAACCCGGAGAACUGAAACAUCUAAGUACCCGGAGGAGAAGAAAACAAUAGUGAUUUCCUGAGUAGCGGCGAGCGAAACGGAAUUAGCCCAAACCAAAGUUGUUACGGCAAUUUUGGGGUUGUAGGACUAUGACAUGGAUUGUACAAAGAACUGGAACGUUUUGGAAAGAACGAUCAAAGAGGGUGAUAAUCCCGUACAGGUAAGUCUGUAUAAAUCCUAAUAGUAUCCUGAGUAGCGCGGGGCACGUGAAACCUUGCGUGAAACAGCCGGGACCAUCCGGUAAGGCUAAAUACUCCUGUGAGACCGAUAGCGAACAAGUACCGUGAGGGAAAGGUGAAAAGUACCCUGAAUAAGGGAGUGAAAUAGAACCUGAAACCGUACGCUUACAAGCGGUCGGAGUCCCCUUGAGGGAUGACGGCGUGCCUUUUGCAUAAUGACCCUACGAGUUACUCCUCACUAGCAAGCAUAAGAACUUCAGGUUCGGAUGCGCAGCGAAAGCGAGUCUGAAUAGGGCGUAUAGUUAGUGGGGGUAGACGCGAAACCGUGUGAUCUACCCAUGGGCAGGUUGAAGUUGCAGUAACAUGCAAUGGAGGACCGAACCGCCAGACGUUGAAAAGUCUUCGGAUGACCUGUGGGUAGGGGUGAAAGGCCAAUCAAACUCGGAAAUAGCUCGUACUCCCCGAAAUGCAUUUAGGUGCAGCGUUGGAAUAGAGUGUCAUAGAGGUAGAGCUACUGGUUGGAUGCGGGGGCUUCAUCGCCUACCAAAUCCUGUCAAACUCCGAAUGCUAUGACAUGUUCUCCAGCAGUGAGGCAUUGGGUGCUAAGGUCCAAUGCCGAGAGGGAAAGAACCCAGACCAUCAGCUAAGGUCCCAAAAUUAUGAUUAAGUUGACCAAACGAGGUGCGAUUGCACAGACAGCUAGGAUGUUGGCUUGGAAGCAGCCAUUCAUUUAAAGAGUGCGUAACAGCUCACUAGUCGAGCGAUCGUGCGUGGAUAAUAAUCGGGCAUAAAUCAUAUACCGAAGCUGUGGACGAAAGUGGUAGGGGAGCAUUCCAGUCGGCGUAGAAGGCGAACCGUGAGGUUUUCUGGAGCGUCUGGAAAAGCAAAUGUAGGGAUAAGUAACGAUAAUGCGGGCGAGAAACCCGCACACCAAUAGACUCAGGUUUCCUCAGCUAUGCUAAUCAGCUGAGGGUUAGUCGGGUCCUAAGGCGAACCCGAAAGGGGUAGUCGAUGGCCAACGGGUUAAUAUUCCCGUACCGGCUAUUACUGCGAUGGAGUGACGAAGUAGUGAAAGCACCGCGCACUGACGGAAUAGUGCGUUAAAGGAGGUAGGUAUUGGUCCAGGUUAAGAGCUAGGACUAGCUGAACUUUGAUAGUACCACAAGUCUUCGGAUGAGUGGAUAGUGUGCCUAAUCAGACUUCCAAGAAAAACUUCUAAGCACUAGGUAAUAGCUGCCCGUACCGUAAACCGACACAGGUAGUCAAGUAGAGAAUACUAAGGUGCUCGAAUGAUUCGUGGCUAAGGAACUAGGCAAAAUCGCCUCGUAACUUCGGGAGAAGAGGCGCCAUCUUCGGAUGGCCGCAGUGAAUAGGCCCAGGCGACUGUUUAACAAAAACACAGGACUCUGCUAAAUUGAAAGAUGAUGUAUAGGGUCUGACACCUGCCCGGUGCCGGAAGGUUAAGAGGAGGGGUUAUACUUCGGUAGAAGCUCUGAAUUGAAGCCCCGGUAAACGGCGGCCGUAACUAUAACGGUCCUAAGGUAGCGAAAUUCCUUGUCGGGUAAGUUCCGACCUGCACGAAUGGUGCAACGAUCUGGGCACUGUCUCAGCCACGAGUUCGGUGAAAUUGUAGUAUCGGUGAAGAUGCCGAUUACCCGCUACGGGACGGAAAGACCCCGUGAACCUUCACUACAGCUUAGUAUUGACUUUGGAUAAAUGAUGUGUAGGAUAGGUGGGAGACAUCGAAGCGGCCUCGCUAGGGGUUGUGGAGUCGUCCUUGAAAUACCACCCUUUAUUUAUUUGAAGCCUAACUCCGCGAGGAGGACAGUGCUUGGUGGGUAGUUUGACUGGGGUGGUCGCCUCCAAAAGAGUAACGGAGGCUUCCAAAGGUACCCUCAGCACGUUUGGUAACCGUGCGUAGAGUGCAAUGGCAUAAGGGUGCUUGACUGUGAGACUUACAAGUCGAGCAGAGACGAAAGUCGGGCAUAGUGAUCCGGUGGUUCCGCAUGGAAGGGCCAUCGCUCAAAGGAUAAAAGGUACUCCGGGGAUAACAGGCUGAUCUCCCCCAAGAGCUCACAUCGACGGGGGGGUUUGGCACCUCGAUGUCGGCUCGUCACAUCCUGGGGCUGGAGAAGGUCCCAAGGGUUGGGCUGUUCGCCCAUUAAAGUGGCACGCGAGCUGGGUUCAGAACGUCGCGAGACAGUUCGGUCCCUAUCUGUAGUGGGCGUUAGAAAUUUGAGAAGACCUGCCUCUAGUACGAGAGGACCGAGGCGGACUGACCUCUAGUGUACCUGUUGUGACGCCAGUUGCAUCGCAGGGUAGCUACGUCGGGACGAGAUAAGCGCUGAAAGCAUAUAAGCGCGAAACUCACUUCAAGAUAAGAUUUCUUUUAAGGGUCGUAGGAGACGACUACGUUGAUAGGUCACAGGUGUAAAGGUGGUAACAUCAAAGCCGAGUGAUACUAAUUACCCGUAAACUUCCUCAA